CCUACGGGAGGCAGCAGUGAGGAAUAUUGGACAAUGGGCGCGAGCCUGAACCAGCCAAGUCGCGUGAAGGAUGACUGCCCUACGGGUUGUAAGCUUCUUUUAUAGAGGAAUAAAGUGAGGUACGUGUGCCUUUUUGUCUGUCCUUUAUGAAUACAGAUGGGCUAACUACGUGCCAGCAGCCGCGGUAAUACGGAGGAUCCGAGCGUUAUCCGGAUUUAUUGGGUUUACAGGGAGCGUAGAUGGGUUGUUAAGUCAGUUGUGAAAGUUUGCGGCUCAACCGUACAAUUGCAAUUGAUACUGGCAGGCUUGAGUACAGAUGAGGUAGGCGGAAUUCGUGGUGUAGCGGUGAAAUGCUUAGAUAUCACGAAGAACUCCGAUUGCGAAGGCAGCCUACUAAACUGCAACUGACAUUGAUGCUCGAAAGUGUGGGUAUCAAACAGGAUUAGAUACCCUGGUAGUC
rnacentral:rRNA from 1 species